rnacentral:rRNA from 1 species
UACGUAGGCAGCGAGCGUUAUUCGGAGUUACUGGGCGUAAAGGGUGUGUAGGCGGUCCCUUAAGUUUGGUGUGAAAUCUCCCGGCUCAACUGGGAGGGUGCGCCGGAUACUGAGGGGCUAGAGUGCGGGAAGGGAAAGUGGAAUUCCUGGUGUAGCGGUGAAAUGCGUAGAUAUCAGGAGGAACACCGGUGGUGCAAACGGCUUUCUGGACCGUAACUGACGCUGAGGUGCGAAAGCGUGGGGAGCAAACAGG